GCCCGAACCCUACUCGUCUCUGUACCCCGCUCUCCCAGCAAACCUAUGAAACACUCACUCUCUCUCUCUUUCCCAUGAAACGCCGAUCCAAAGCCAGAACCAGAUCCGAGGCCAAGAGCCCCCGCGGAUCCGGGAAUAGGAAGAAACCAGCCUAACAGUGGAAGCUUCGAGAUUUUUCAGGUGCUGCCAUAGAGAAUGAGCUCAAGUAAACACACCCAUCAAAGUUGAGAUAUAUAUAUAAAAGCAAUGACCUUUUCAAACUCCACAUAGGUUUGUUCACGUGCAAUGGACAUCAAAGUGGAUAAUAAGGAAGCUGCUGCUUGCCAUUCAGAUUGAUUAGUGCUGGAUGCCAUCAUUGUUGGUCGGUUACUAAUAUUUAGAAGGUCAACAGAUUCAACUGCAAUGACACCAUUGUAAUAUGUUCUCGAAUCUAAAACUAUGUUUAUCACAUAUGGCAAAACAAUCAUAAGUAAAUUCCCUCACUCUCUUCGCUUUUCCGAUUUGGAUUUUUCACAAGAAAAGAUAAAUUAAAGAAAAUCGGUUAAGGU